rnacentral:rRNA from 1 species
UACGGAGGGUGCGAGCGUUGUCCGGAAUCACUGGGCGUAAAGGGCGCGUAGGCGGCUGGGGUGGUCCGUGGUGAAAGCUCGAGGCUCAACUUCGAGUCGGCCAUGGAUACUCCUCGGCUUGAGCACUGUAGAGGCAGGUGGAAUUCCGGGUGUAGCGGUGGAAUGCGCAGAUAUCAGGAGGAACACCGAUGGCGAAGGCAGAUCUCUGGGCCGUAACUGACGCUGAGGAGCGAAAGCAUGGGGAGCGAACAGG